AGUCAGGAAGACCUGGGCCAGAGUGCCUUUCCUUCCUUCACUAGGCACUUGAUCAUGGGCAAGUUAUUAAUAAGCAACAAUAAUGGCAAUAAUAGCACCAACUAACAUAUCCUAGGUGUGCGCUGUGACUCAGGCAUCCACUGACUGAUCAAAUACUCACAGGAACCCCAGAAGGCGUCCUGUGCAGAUAAUGCCAUGGUGGGCCUGUGGGCCACGACAGGGGCAAAGGAACCAAAGAGACAUGACAAUGCAGGCCUUCGUAGAAAAGAAGGGCCUGCUGUUCUCCCUGAUGGGCACUACAUGCCUUUGAGAUGUCAAGACUGACCUUGAUGAUGACCUCAGGGAUUAUUAGCACGAUGGACUUCUGCUUGACAAGAACAUCUUUGGUCUCAUUGACGCGAGCUGUGACGAAGAAGUGCAGGGACGCCUGUUCCAGCAGCUGACCCAGGUACUCGCCGGCUCGGAUCUGCACCUCCUCUUUCUUGACUGGCAGGAGGAAACACACACAGACCUGGCAUGGAGACUUGAGACAGGGUCUGCUUUACUUUUCCCCAAGUUUUCCCAUCCUUCCCACAUCAGCCUAGAAGCCACCAGGAGCACAGCAAGCAGACAUUUGAGCUUGCCUGAAUGCUGAUUGGAAGGAGAAAAUAGAGAAGGAGAGAUGGCAAUACCAGUGACCCUGGGAGUGACUGAUGGAGCAGAGAGGGAAUGGGAUCAAGACACCUUAAUCAAAGAAGAUAUAUUGCCACAGAAGAAGUCUUUGGAAUUCUGGUUUUCAAAGUCUUAUUGUUUCUUAAUUGGAUAUUUUGAGAAAAGUUAUAAAAUUAAUAAUAACCUUUAAUAAGUUGAAGUGAAAAAUGAUCUUUCCAUGAUUUAAUUCAUUAAAAUAGUUAAUUCCUAAAUCUAGUAAUGAUUUGUUUCAUGUGAUUCUACUCAUUUCCAUAUUUUGGUGUCUACACUCAGCAUUUGUGGAGCAGGGAAAUUGUGAGAGAUUUAAUGGUGAGAAUCAGAGUGGUAAGCACCAAGCCACGGGCACAACGAGCCCUCACUGCAAGCCAGUGGCCAACAGUGGCAAUCAAUCCCUCUAUCCCACUAUAUUCAGAUGCAGUAUUGGUGUUUUUCUCAAAACGACACUCUACUCAGUCAUUUCCAAAGUUCCAGUUUGAAAUGUGUGUGCCACCUUUGAUUAAGAAACUAAUUAUCCACUUGGGGUCAAACUCCAGCCCAGAAGCAGGAUGAGUUGUCUCUCACAACCAUCUAUGCGGAUUUAGGGAUUCUUCCAGUGGAACCAGAUCCCCAGGCUUGCCUCUUUGCUAAACUCUAAACACCUGCACCUCAGAAGUCUUCCUCAUGCAGUAUGCACACAUUUUGUUUUAAUUCGGUAUCCACCCCCAGCCAAGCCCCUGACUCCUCUUUCGUGGAGUUUUGGUCUUUCCUCUCGUGGCAUCUGAUUCUGUCCCAUUCCUGAGUUGGCUGUCACUGUCACCUCCAUGCUGACAGCUAACGGCAGCUGUGCUCAGCUCCAGGGUUUCCACGACACAUCUGUCAUGUAGACAGCUGGCUUCCUGCUGCCCCUCGCUGCCUGUGGGUACACCUUUUGUUCACCACUCUGUCUGGUCAGGACUUCUUCCAAAUAGAAGAGUUCACACCACAAUCCCUGCCUUGCUGCCUUUUCUUGGGGAUCUCUUUCCCCAGCUUCAUCUGACAAUUCUUGUGUGUCCUUUGGGCUUAGUGAGCCCAUCACUAACUUCCUCCAGGACGCCUUCCCCAACCGCCGAUUCUCAGCUGGGAGCCCUUCUCUGUGCCUGGCAGCACCUGUGCACCCUGUGCUAGAGCAAUUCUCACCCAGCACAGCGAAGGCUGCCUUCUGCUUCUCUCCCCGGCUGCAUGGGAAGGCAGGGCUGUGCAUGUGUCCAGCUCUGCACAGCGCUGGAUGAUGGUAGGUGGUAAGAGCCAGCUGUUGUGUGGAUGAAUGUAUGAAUGAGUGAAUGCUGCAGCUAGCUUUUCUAUGAUCUUUCUUUUUUUGUGUUUUUGCUUAUAACUCUAUAGAAAGAGGGCAUUGCUUGUUUGUUUUGUUUUAUUUGCACUUACAUUGUUUUAAAUUUUCCUUUAAGCAAAAAGGCAAACGACAAAAAGAAAUACCACCUUUGUAUCUGUGUUGUGCAAUGGAUGAUAAUAAACAGAAGAGGAAAAUGAAGCAUUUCACAAAUACAGUGAAAAUUCACUGGUUCAGUUAAUAAAAAUUCUGACUUUCUGAGACGAGGCACAAGUGUUCUCAGUUCAGCAAGCUUCUUCUUUAUAGUGCAAAUUACUUUUGUAAAUAAGAGCAGGGAGACUAUCUAAAAUAUUUAAAACAAAUUCUGCACUCCUUAGCACUUCAUGGAUUCAAAUGAAUAUUUAGACAUAUGCUAAUUACUUGUCAUUUUUAUCCAUUCACUAAAAUAAAUACUCCUAAAAACCUCUGGCAGUGAAUCGUUUGCAAACUAUUCCAUGUUCCCCAUCAAGGCACCCAAGGUCCUCCACCUCCUGGCCACUGCUGGCCUCGGGCAGCUUUGUCCCCAGUCACCGGGCAUUCUGAGCCUGUAGGAUCCUAAACAUACCUGGCUGCUUCACACCUUGUGACUUUGGUCUUGUUCCCACUGCCCGGAAACUUCUGCCCAGCUUCCUUUAUCUGAGGUCCAUGACUUCUCAAGUCUUUCCUGAAUCAGUUGGAUUAAAUGUCCCUAAUUUUUUGUUUCCAAAAACCCCUUGCACGAUAACCCUUUCACUCAGACCAGGACAGGAACUGGGUCCUGCUCACUGCUGGGAUCCCCAGCACCAAACCAGCUGCAGGCGUAGAGUGGACACUCAGCACUGAUUGAGAUCGAAUUAAGCUCAGCAGUGCCAUUUGAAGCAUUCUAUACAAUAAAAGUUAACAAAACCCCACCAUGACAUUAUUUUAUGAUCGGAACUGGCCUUUGACCUAAUUGUCCUGAGUUAGAGAGAUUGUAUUGUCCUAUUAAUAUUGUAUCAUCUAUUUUAUAGCUUUCUAUGAUAGUGUAACAGAACAAUGUAUGUGAAAAUAAUUGGUAAAGUACUAAGCAAACAUG